UCACCACUAAAUAGGGCAGCAUGGGUUAGCAUGAGAGGAAUCAACUUGGUCUUAGUAGUUUUUAAAAUAUAUAUAGAUGCUGAAAAAAUAUGGUUUCAACCUAUUUGAAAAUUGGCUGAAGAGGAGCCACAUUCAGAUGACUGCAGUCUGGGUCCAAGCUGUGUUCUCUUGACAAAACAAUGUUCGGUGACCACCUUGGGAGGAGGAGGAGGAAGAGAAAGAAGGCAGGGAGUGGCAUCCAUGACCUCUUCGCUUUGGACAAAGUAUUCUGGAGUGUCACUGCUUCCUUUAGAAGAGCAGCCAUUCACCACCAUGGCUCCACUACCCCUUACAUUCCCGACUCUCUAGGAUACUCCAUCACAGGGCCCUCUUGUCCAAGUGCUGCAAUAAAGAAAAACCAACAAAAAUUUUUCCAUAACAUUUUUAUCCAGCAAC